GAGUGACAAGUAGUAAUUCUCCAAACCACCCGGGUUUGGGGCGAUACAGAAGCAGCUGAUAAACAUUUUACAAGAAAAAACCAAGGAGGAUCUCUUUGAAGUAACAAAACAGAAAUGUUACAAAACCAAAAGAGCCAUACAUUUCUAACGACUUUGUGGUCUGCGAGUUGUCUUAUGUUGCCACAACCCUUCAUGUUUUGGAGAUGCUCUUUCUUGAGAGCAAGAAACCUAGCUGGCUAUAGCAUCAUAGUCAAACAACUUGGGAUGAACAUGGUUAAUUGGGAAGACUACCAAAGUUGUGAUCCCUUCCUUUUGCUUCAAUGCUAAAAACUCAUGGUCGUCCAAGUCUUUGUCACCACAAGAGCAAAAAGAAAAUGAAUGUCUCAACCUGUUGUUUUCCAUCUCAAGGUUAAAGAAGGAUCCCUCGGGAUCACACCUGCAAUUACAUGAUUGGAUGUCAUUACCCAAGUCCAAGCAGCAGGUUUUCUCCAGUCCCUUUGGAUCAUAAAAUGAUUGAUGCCUUCUUACUGCUGGAGUCUUCUUCUGAUGCUUUCUAGGGUGAUUACUUGGAACUCUUGCACGGCUUGUCACAAUACAAUAUUACACAUUCAAUGUUGUUCGGACUUUGUUUGUCCUGAGACAUUGAUCUCCUCAAUCUUUUUCCAGGAGGAACAGAUGCUUUGAACUUAAGUUGUCUUUGCUCUCGGCAAUCUCCAUCAUUUUUGGCAUAGGACAUUUUAAUACGUUUGGGGGGAUGAUUGCUGAACAAUUGAAGAACUAGUAGACUCAACAUUCGAAGAACCGGCCAGUAGAAGUAGUAGAUGUAUCAAAAUCUUGUUUAUUGAGUAAGUUGUACCGUUCUGUCAAAAUCUCUCUAACAUCCGAAGUUUGCAUUUCAGGUCCGCUGGUCGUGUCAUAAUAAGUUUGAGCAUCCGCUUCCAAUACUUGACACUAUUUUCAUUCACUUUUAGGUUCAUGGCAAGAAAUGAAGUCCAUGAAUUGGAAUUGGUAAGAGCAUCAUGAUUUUUUUUAGAAAAAAGUAAACAUAUUGAUUUAAGCACAUAGUAUCACCUCCUGGAUUUUCCAUUCAGUGUAGUAUUCGAGUGCUAAAACCUCUGGUUUCAGGCAGCAUUCCCUGGAUAUUUCAUCCACCAAACUAUGCUUAACAUCAUCUGCCACUGUCCUAAGUGAGAGUUUCUCCUUUAUCUAUAGUUUUAGAUUUUGUUUGUUGUAGGCAUCAUUGUAAUCAUCAUUUUCUUUUCCUCUUAUUACUCUGUAAUAAUGAAACCAUUUUGAUGAUGGAGGUCAAACUCCCUGAUGGAUUGCUGCAAGAGAUUUUGCUACGGCUAUCAGUCAUUUCUCUCAUGCAAUUCAAGCGUGUCUCCAAAAUCUGGAACACUCUCAUUUCUGGUCAAAAUUUCGUCUAUAAACACCAACUUCACGCCCGAUCCCCUUCCAACAAGACCAAGAAUGCCCUUCUUCUUGUUAAUCGGCGUGAUAGAACCACCUUAGAUUUUGUUGCCUCCAGGCUUUCUAAUGAAACUCUCCAGGUAUUCCGCACACAAUGUCUACCUCUAAUAUGUAAUACGAACAAUUAUCAACGAAAGGUUUACA